GGGAGCCGGAUGCGGGAAAUUCGCACGUCCGGUUCUGAGGAGGGGCUCGUCAGGGUAACCUGGCGGGUCUACUCAAC
rnacentral:ncRNA from 1 species